rnacentral:rRNA from 1 species
CCUACGGGUGGCAGCAGUGAGGGAUAUUGGUCAAUGGGGGAAACCCUGAACCAGCAACGCCGCGUGAGUGAAGACGGUUUUCGGAUUGUAAACCUCUGUCCUCUGUGACGAUGAUGACGGUAGCAGAGGAGGAAGCUCCGGCUAACUCUGUGCCAGCAGCCGCGGUAAUACGUAGGGAGCAAGCGUUGUCCGGAUGUACGGGGUGCAAAGGGUGCGCAGGCGGAUAUGCAAGUCGGAAGUGAAAUCCAUGGGCUUAACCCAUGAACUGCUUUUGAGACUGCAGAGCUUGAGUGGGGUAGAGGUAGACGGAAUUCCCAGUGUAGCGGUGGAAUGCGUAGAGAUCGGGAGGAACACCAGUGGCGAAGGCGACCUGCUGGGCUCUAACUGACGCUGAGGCACGAAAGCGUGGGUAGCAAACAGGAUUAGAUACCCGAGUAGUC